rnacentral:misc_RNA from 1 species
GACGGAGUUCACAAGCAGCUACAGAUUCCUUCGAGGAUUUGGGAAAGAAGGUAACCACAUUGUUGAAAAGAAGCAAGAGAUCUCGGUAAAACGCAUGGCUGGAGGACGAAUAAGAGCCGGAAUUGACCUUGGUUUGAACUAUUUCCAGGUCCAAAUGCUGCCGGAUCAUGGCCUUGUACUCUCCCGUUUCCUGACUUUGAAGACGAGAUUCGAACAAGGAGCCAUGUUUGUGCCCUCGUAUCAUCUGCAGGACCUCGUCGAACCGCCGUGACUUAACUGCGGCAGUCCGGCGAGGUUCAUUGCCGCUGCUACCACCGGAGAUCUCCUUCCUUAGGAGUCUCUUCCUCUUCAUCCUCCCCGUCAAGCUCGCCGAGCUCUGUACUUCGCUGCUCUCCCUCGUCGUCGUUCCUCCGCCGUUUGACUGAGCCUCCGAGUCGGCUAAUUCGGACGAAUCGUCGACUCGUUGCGUUUCCUUCUUUUUUGUCUCUGAUAGGUCGCACGUUGGGUUCUUAACAACAGUAUCCGUACUGCCGUCAUCCGACUGCGGACCGGCUGGUUCGGCGGCUCUCCGGUUUUGCUCUGGUCUAUAUGAGCCGGCGAAUUCCGGUUUAGUUUCGGAUUUGGCGAUUUUGGCCGUGCUUUUACGGUUACCGCUUUUGGAACCGGUGGAAUUGGAUUGGUUGACAGAGAAGUCUUCCCGGUCGGAAUCUUCUCCGGGAACCGCCGCCGGCUUCAUGACUGUUCCGUUUGGUCCGGACCGGUGGUCUGGUUCUCCGAAGAGCUUUUUGUCGUUUUCUGAUCGUCGCUCUCUGGACUCCGUUUUUAGAUCUGGUUUUCCAGUGCUGGCCUCUCUGUCGUUCAGGCCUUGUUCUCGUUCCUCCUCCAAUUUCUUGACCUUCAACUGCAAGGAGUUGAUUGAAACAUCAUAGCGCUGGACCUCUCGUCGAAGUUCGGCAACGCGGAGUUUCCUCAACUCAUCGACCCAAGGUACGG